UUCAUCGGGGGUGAGAAAGGACCUUUUUGUCCUGCUUUUUCUUCCGCAAUGUCAUGUUGUUCUUGGUGUUUGGCAAGAUGUCGGCUGGGCAUGUGUCUUUGCGGAGUUGAAGAUGUCGUGGGGUUUAGAAACACAAAAUAUAGAUAAACAACAAAGCUGAUCUAUACUCUUCGGGAAGCCUCCAUCCAAAUCAAGGUUCACUGUUAACUGACCUCAGAGUCGGUGAUCAAGAUCAAGAUCAAGAACAAGAACAGUGACAACUCGUCUCCAUCAAAGUCCAAGCAAUCAAAUAGAAAAAAGGAGGACGGGCCACUUUCAGUUUUUUUUUUCUGCAAAAGUUUUUGAUAUGCAGAAUAACUACAACUGCAUAUAUGUACCUCAAUGAUAUAAGGGUAGGAAGGGAAAAUGACAGAAGUGACUGAGAAAAUUAUUCACUUACUUGAUCAAACUGUCUGAGAAGUCUCCUGAUCCAUUUCAAACCAGCCAGCAAAAUUUCUUUAAGGAAUGCUUCCAAAUUACAAUGGCGUGAUCAUGCCCUUUUGGCUAUUCUCAUGUGGGACAGAUAAAGAAGGGGAUCCAUACUUGGUGGAAUGGAAUGAAAGUGAAGGAGCUGUAAAGCGUACCUAUCAUGGUCUUGGGAAGCGAACUGUUGGGGUUGUGCAGUUCGAUACCACCAAGAAUUGAUUCUUGGCUAUUGGUGAUGAGUUCAUCGUUAAAUUCUGGGACAUGGACAAUGUUAACCUUUUGACGAGUACAAAUGCAGAUGGUGGACUGCCAGUAGGCAUUACAUCAUGUUUAUUUAUUUAAUGAAAUCGUUCUUUCCAACUAAUCAUCAUGGUCUUAAAAUUCUGCAGGCUUCUCCUCCUAUUAGAUUUAACAAAGAAGGAAUACUGUUAGCUGUCUCAACAAAUGACAAUGGUAUUAAAAUUCUGGCAAAUUUAUAUGGAAUUAGGUUGCUGAGGACAGUGGAUGCUUCAAGUUGCUUCUGUGGCUGUUGUGAAGGCCUCAACAAUAGGAACAUUUGGAUCGUCUAACAUUACUAUUGGAACAGGCAUUGGAGAUCGAGUGGCUCCAAUGCCAGCCAUGGUUGGACUGGUGAGUGUCAUCAUUAUCUCUCAUGGGUGACUCAAACCCCAGAAGAAAUAAAUCAAUGCUAACGUAGCUACAGAUGAAGUAGCUACACAUGUUACUGUCAUGAAUUUGUUAUUUGAUGGUAAGUCCUCAGAAAGCAUGCUCCAAUUGAGUUCCGCAGGCCAUAAUAAGCACACUUGAUCUUUCUAAUAUCUUAAAAUUUAAACAGUCCUGUAGUACAAUUGCUUUCUGAUGUUUCAGAUUGUAUAGUGCAUGUUAUUUCUGUUUCAUAAUUGUUAGUUUAUUACAUGGAAUAAGAACCUGUUGGUUGUUUAGCAUUAUUACUAAAACACUGCUGAUGAACAACUUAUGGUGAAGGAAUAUUAAGCCUAUAUGUAUGUCAAAAGGUAAAUUGAAAGUAUAAAUAAAACUACAUUUGUUCCUUUUAUUUAGGUUGAGUUAAAUGGAGCAUUUGAAACCAUGUGUUAGCAAGGAUUUGGUGCAUGGUCAUAUAGAAUGUUGGGAUUUUAUCCGCAAGCCUUUUCCAUCAUAUCUGCUUUCCUUAUUCUAUAGAGUACAUCAUUCCAGGGUUGUAUACAGAAUUACAGAUCGAAUUAAAAUAUGUUCAUGAACACACCAAGUCGAACAAGUCAGAGAUAAUAAUCUGUGCCAUUAAGGAACCUCAAUGCAAUAUCUCUGAAAGCCAAAGCAAAAGCCAAAAAAAAUAAAAAAUAAGAAGAAAAAAGAACAAAAAACUCAAAAUGAAGUUCAAUAGAUUCUGAAAGUUAGAUCAAGCAAAUACACUUUUUGGUUUAGAUGGCAAUAUAGCCUAUAAACCAAUAAAGUUCUAUAGCAUUCAAAAGGUAGUCCCGAUGUUAAGUUUGGAUCUUUUUAAGUGUGUGGUUUCUGGGUUUUAUGGGGUUUUCAGAUUUUGAAUUGAAAUGGCUAGAACGGGUAGGAAAGUUUAGAACUUUGGGGUUACCUUUUGCUUUCUAGGUUUUUUAGGUUUCAAAUGGAAAAGGGUAGUCUAAACUCUACAUGUGGUCCCAGCGCUGCCUCACCUUCCCUGUCAUACAGUCAUAUUCCGACGAGCCAUUAAAAAGUACUCGGGUCUUCUUCACUCACUCAGCCACUUCUAAUUUUCUGUAUCUGCAUGCUUUAAUUAUGACAUUCAAUUGAUGAUUUCAAAUUUUAGAUCAACGGCAUCCCUUUGCUACAAAAUGUUGAAUCAACUAGCAUAAAGCACAACUGAAGAGCAUGUGACUGCUGUAAGAACAAGUUUUGCAGUGUUCUAAGGUUGAAUUGCUCUGACAAGCCUUGGAGAUCCGGUUUCGUUCGCAGAAGAGAGUGAGAAAGAGAAGGUAGAGCCUGAAAUUUUUGUUGUGAAUGAAGAAAAGAGAACAGGAGAAGAUGAGAAGAAGGGUGAGAGGUCUGGUGCUUCGUGCUGAAGCUCAAAUCUUCCUUGCAUGGAUAAGCUCAGGGAUGAGCUUUCUUGAGAGAGCCAAACAUUGGCAAGCAAGGAAUGUUCCCAUCACAGAUAUUGAGCCCGUAUGAAGCUGAAGUCUCUGGAACUGAAAGCGGAUGUGGGUGAUCCACAAAGUCAGCAGCUGUGGAAUUGCUAGGUUGAGGCAAGU